rnacentral:rRNA from 1 species
AUGAACGCUGGCGGCGUGCCUAAUACAUGCAAGUCGAGCGGUAAGGCCCCUUCGGGGGUACACGAGCGGCGGACGGCUGAGUAACACGUAGGAACGUACCCCAAAGUGAGGGAUAAGCACCAGAAAUGGUGUCUAAUACCGCAUGUGCUCUAAGGAGUAAAGCUUCGGCGCUUUGGGAACGGCCUGCGCAUGAUUAGUUUGUUGGUGAGGUAAUGGCUUACCAAGACUACGAUCAUUAGCUGGUCUGAGAGGAUGACCAGCCAGACUGGAACUGAGAACGGUCCAGACUCCUACGGGAGGCAGCAGUAGGGAAUUUUCCACAAUGGGCGAAAGCCUGAUGGAGCAACGCCGCGUGCAGGAUGAAGGCUCUAGGGUCGUAAACUGCUUUUAUCUGUGACGAAUAUGACGGUAGCAGAUGCAUAAGGAUCGGCUACCUCCGU